rnacentral:rRNA from 1 species
UUGUCCUACGGGGCGCAGCAGUGAGGAAUAUUGGUCAAUGGGCUUACGCCUGAACCAGCCAAGUCGCGUGAGGGAAGACUGCCCUAUGGGUUGUAAACCUCUUUUGUCAGGGAGCAAUUGGCGCUACGUGUAGCGUUAUCGAGAGUACCUGAAGAAAAAGCAUCGGCUAACUCCGUGCCAGCAGCCGCGGUAAUACGGAGGAUGCGAGCGUUAUCCGGAUUUAUUGGGUUUAAAGGGUGCGUAGGCGGCGCUUCAGGUCAGCGG